rnacentral:rRNA from 1 species
CCUACGGGCGGCUGCAGUGGGGAAUAUUGGGCAAUGGGCGCAAGCCUGACCCAGCAACGCCGCGUGAGUGAAGAAGUAUUUCGGUAUGUAAAGCUCUAUCAGCAGGGAAGAAAAUGACAGUACCUGACCAAGAAGCCCCGGCUAACUACGUGCCAGCAGCCGCGGUAAUACGUAGGGGGCAAGCGUUAUCCGGAUUUACUGGGUGUAAAGGGAGCGUAGACGGUUAUGUAAGUCUGGAGUGAAAGCCCGGGGCCCAACCCCGGGACUGCUUUGGAAACUGUGUAACUGGAGUACAGGAGGGGCAGGCGGAAUUCCUGGUGUAGCGGUGAAAUGCGUAGAUAUCAGGAGGAACACCGGCGGCGAAGGCGGCCUGCUGGACUGCGACUGACGUUGAGGCUCGAAAGCGUGGGGAGCGAACAGGAUUAGAUACCCCUGUAGUC